CAAAUCAAAUACAGUUAGUUUUCUAGCAAUGAAGGAAAGCAAAUCAAAUACAGUUUUUGGUUGUUACACUCAUACUUUUUAGUUUUUACCGAUUGGCUACUUAAAGUUAAAAUAUAAAUUUACUAAUGGAAAAAAAAGUUACUUCUAUGCAAAUCUGUUUUGCUGUCACAACCAUGUUGACGUAUUUUCAUUUUGAUGCAUUAAAUAAAAGUUUUAUAAGCGUCCAUGGUUACAAAAACAAACAAAAUUUGUUAUUAGCUCAUUUAGACAAAGUUAUACAGUAAAUUCAAAAAUGAUACCAAAGGACGCUUGUAAUGAAGACAAUGAUUCAAAGUAUGAAAGUCUCCUUAGACGUUAUGAAAUAUUAGAGACUGCUUUCGAGAUGAUUUUAGUAAAACAAGAAGUACUGUCAGAGCAUAAUCGUUCUCUUGAGCAGCAAGUAGCAAAACUUCAGCUCCUGCUUAAAAUUUCGGACGACAAAUUGGUCAUGCUUAAAUAUCAACAAUAAGUUUUCGCUGUGUUCAUUUUCCUAAAGUAUGUGUGUAGUACCGAACAGUUGUGUGUGGCGAAAUAAAACUACUUCAUAUGUAUAAUAUUUUUAAAUAUUAUUACAAUAAAAAAUCUAAAAAAGAUACGUAAAUAUGAA